AAGUGGAACCCCUCUUUCUCUCUCUAAAAGGUUUUAAAUUUCUUGGCGGAAUGAGUGUGGUGGGUUUGGUAACCUCCUGGUUACUCUCACCGCAGCACGAUAGUGCCUCCUCCUUGUCUCUCGCCCUCUCGGUCUCCUUCCCCUGUCAUGAUUAAAAUGAACGGAUGGCACUGAAUAUUUUCUCUCAAUAUAAUUGAAUGAUCUUAAAGUCUACCUUCAAUGAUCUCUGGAACCGUAUCUGAGCGGUUCCUAACUCGGCACUUGAAUGUGUCCAUAAAUCUAAUUUGGAUGAGUGCAGAAUCCAACGGAAAUCUUGACCCAGCCAAAGUCUCCCCAUAAUCCCUUUUAAUUCCAGCAAUUAUAAAAAACUCUAUCAAAGAUCAAUUGCACCUACAUCCAUUCGAAAAACAUAAACUUGUUCUUUUUAAAAUUUAAUUUUAUCAUUAAUCUAUAAUUUAAUAAAAUAUUGGUCAAAUUAUUAACCUUAUAUAGAAUCUAAAUAUUAUAUUAGAUUUUUUUUAAAUAACAAAAAUAUUCUUAAAUGACGUAACAACCG
rnacentral:lncRNA from 1 species